rnacentral:ncRNA from 1 species
GAUUUCGCAAUGCCGCCAUGAGUGUCGCCUGUUCGCGUCGAAGGAUCGAUCUGUUUUCGAUCAUAUAUCAGUUUCGGUAUAGCAAUCAUCAAAGAUCGCAUUUGACAGUUAUGUCAAAGGGACACACCCUUCGCGCGUCCUGGGGCGUGCCAGUCGAUGACGAGGAAAAUCGUAUCGAUUGAAAUCUGCGUCCCGGGGCCGAUUGGGAGGAUACCGGAGAUCGAUAGACGACAGCAGCGCGCUUGCGCUUCUGCUCGACUGCGCGGCCCGCGAAGCCCCGAGGUGUCGCGUCCAUCAACCAGGGAGAGUUAC